CCUACGGGCGGCAGCAGUGAGGAAUAUUGGUCAAUGGGCGCGAGCCUGAACCAGCCAAGUAGCGUGAAGGAUGACUGCCCUACGGGUUGUAAACUUCUUUUAUAAAGGAAUAAAGUGAGGCUCGUGUGCCUUUUUGUAUGUACUUUAUGAAUAAGGAUCGGCUAACUCCGUGCCAGCAGCCGCGGUAAUACGGAGGAUCCGAGCGUUAUCCGGAUUUAUUGGGUUUAAAGGGAGCGUAGAUGGGUUGUUAAGUCAGUUGUGAAAGUUUGCGGCUCAACCGUAAAAUUGCAAUUGAUACUGGCAGUCUUGAGUACAGUUGAGGUAGGCGGAAUUCGUGGUGUAGCGGUGAAAUGCUUAGAUAUCACGAAGAAUUCCGAUUGCGAAGGCAGCUUACUGGACUGUAACUGACGUUGAGGCACGAAAGUGUGGGUAGCAAACAGGAUUAGAUACCCUUGUAGUC
rnacentral:rRNA from 1 species